GCCACCGGGAGGCGCGGUACCUCCUAAAGAAGGUGUCGCAGGUUCGAAUCCUGCCGGGGGCA
rnacentral:tRNA from 1 species